rnacentral:rRNA from 2 species
UGAACGCUGGCGGCAGGCCUAACACAUGCAAGUCGAGCGGAAACGAUCCUAGCUUGCUAGGAGGCGUCGAGCGGCGGACGGGUGAGUAAUGCAUAGGAAUCUGCCCGGUAGUGGGGGAUAACCUGGGGAAACCCAGGCUAAUACCGCAUACGCCCUACGGGGGAAAGCAGGGGAUCUUCGGACCUUGCGCUAUUGGAUGAGCCUAUGUCGGAUUAGCUUGUUGGUGAGGUAAAGGCUCACCAAGGCUGCGAUCCGUAGCUGGUCUGAGAGGAUGAUCAGCCACAUCGGGACUGAGACACGGCCCGAACUCCUACGGGAGGCAGCAGUGGGGAAUAUUGGACAAUGGGCGAAAGCCUGAUCCAGCCAUGCCGCGUGUGUGAAGAAGGCUUUCGGGUUGUAAAGCACUUUCAGUGAGGAAGAACGCCUUCGGAUUAAUACUCCGGAGGARAGACAUCACUCACAGAAGAAGCACCGGCUAACUCCGUGCCAGCAGCCGCGGUAAUACGGAGGGUGCGAGCGUUAAUCGGAAUUACUGGGCGUAAAGCGCGCGUAGGUGGCUUGAUAAGCCGGUUGUGAAAGCCCCGGGCUCAACCUGGGAACGGCAUCCGGAACUGUCAGGCUAGAGUGCAGGAGAGGAAGGUAGAAUUCCCGGUGUAGCGGUGAAAUGCGUAGAGAUCGGGAGGAAUACCAGUGGCGAAGGCGGCCUUCUGGACUGACACUGACACUGAGGUGCGAAAGCGUGGGUAGCAAACAGGAUUAGAUACCCUGGUAGUCCACGCCGUAAA